rnacentral:rRNA from 1 species
GUGAGGAAUAUUGGACAAUGGGGGGAACCCUGAUCCAGCCAUGCCGCGUGUGUGAAGAAGGCCUUUUGGUUGUAAAGCACUUUAAGCGAGGAGGAGGCUACCGAGAUUAAUACUCUUGGAUAGUGGACGUUACUCGCAGAAUAAGCACCGGCUAACUCUGUGCCAGCAGCCGCGGUAAUACAGAGGGUGCAAGCGUUAAUCGGAUUUACUGGGCGUAAAGCGCGCGUAGGUGGCCAAUUAAGUCAAAUGUGAAAUCCCCGAGCUUAACUUGGGAAUUGCAUUCGAUACUGGUUGGCUAGAGUAUGGGAGAGGAUGGUAGAAUUCCAGGUGUAGCGGUGAAAUGCGUAGAGAUCUGGAGGAAUACCGAUGGCGAAGGCAGCCAUCUGGCCUAAUACUGACACUGAGGUGCGAAAGCAUGGGGAGCAAACAGGAUUAGAUACCCUGGUAGUCC